AGUAAUCCUCAGGAGAGUGGUUGCCUUGCUGUAUGGUUCACUUACUGCAGUAUCCCAGUGCAUGGAGACACACAGCAGGUGCUUGGUAAGUGUGCAGAGGGAUGAAUGUCAUCUGUAUCAUCAUCCUCACUGAAGUAACUGACAGUCAAAAACAACUUGUGACUAAAUAGGAAAACCUCACAGCACGGGUAGCUCUGAACGGAUUCAGCUCUCAGGAAUGUAUAAUGUCCGUAAAGGCAAGAUGCAGUUGCCAGUGAACCGAUGGACAAGACGCCAAGUCAUCCUAUGUGGGACCUGCCUGAUAGUAUCAUCUGUGAAAGACAGCUUGACCGGAAAGAUGCAUGUUCUGCCACUAAUUGGUGGAAAAGUAGAAGAAGUGAAAAAGCACCAACACUGUUUAGCAUUUAGCUCCUCUGGACCCCAAAGCCAGACUUACUACAUUUGCUUUGAUACUUUCACAGAAUACUUAAGGUGGCUGCGUCAAGUCUCCAAGGUUGCAUCCCAGCGCAUUAGCUCAGUGGACCUCUCAUGUUGUAGCCUGGAACAUCUGCCUGCCAACCUCUUCUACAGCC
rnacentral:sRNA from 1 species